rnacentral:rRNA from 1 species
UUAAAUUGAAGAGUUUGAUCAUGGCUCAGAUUGAACGCUGGCGGCAGGCCUAACACAUGCAAGUCGAACGGUAACAGAAAGAAGCUUGCUUCUUUGCUGACGAGUGGCGGACGGGUGAGUAAUGUCUGGGAAACUGCCUGAUGGAGGGGGAUAACUACUGGAAACGGUAGCUAAUACCGCAUAACGUCGCAAGACCAAAGAGGGGGACCUUCGGGCCUCUUGCCAUCGGAUGUGCCCAGAUGGGAUUAGCUUGUUGGUGGGGUAACGGCUCACCAAGGCGACGAUCCCUAGCUGGUCUGAGAGGAUGACCAGCCACACUGGAACUGAGACACGGUCCAGACUCCUACGGGAGGCAGCAGUGGGGAAUAUUGCACAAUGGGCGCAAGCCUGAUGCAGCCAUGCCGCGUGUAUGAAGAAGGCCUUCGGGUUGUAAAGUACUUUCAGCGGGGAGGAAGGGAGUAAAGUUAAUACCUUUGCUCAUUGA